rnacentral:misc_RNA from 1 species
GGACAUAGCUACACACUUUUUGGAUCAAGCUUGAGGAACUCGGGAUGUUAAGGAUCCAAAGAUAGCUACCAUUCGAGUUAGGUGGUUGUAGGCUGAAAGAGAUGCAGGUUUGUAGGAUUAGAGGAGUUCUUUAGAGAGAAAGCAACAAGGAUAGCUUUAGCGCUCUUUCUUAUGUAUCAUGUAUGGGUAGAUGAAUGUGUAAAAUGUGAAUGGAUAGUAUUGUGCUGGUAAUUAUAGAAAAUUAAAGUUAUGUAAUAUUUAAGUAUGUUUAAUGAUGUUUAUGUUUAUGUUUAUGUUAACU